rnacentral:rRNA from 1 species
UACAGAGGGUGCAAACGUUGUUCGGAAUUACUGGGCGUAAAGCGCGUGUAGGCGGUCCUGUAGGUCAGGUGUGAAAUCCCUCGGCUCAACCGAGGAAGUGCACUUGAAACCCCAGGACUUGAGUGUUGGAGAGGAAGGCGGAAUUGUCGGUGUAGAGGUGAAAUUCGUAGAUAUCGACAGGAACACCUGCGGCGAAAGCGGCCUUCUGGACAAACACUGACGCUGAGACGCGAAAGCGUGGGGAGCAAACAGG